rnacentral:rRNA from 2 species
AACGCACUCUCGUUUAGAUUGAAGGAGCUUGCGUCCUGAUUGAUAAACAUUUGAGUGAGUGGCGGACGGGUGAGUAACACGUGGGUAACCUGCCCUAAAGUGGGGGAUACAUUUGGAAACAGAUGCUAAUACCGCAUAAAACCUAACACCGCAUGGUGUAGGGUUGAAAGAUGGUUUCGGCUAUCACUUUAGGAUGGACCCGCGGUGCAUUAGUUAGUUGGUGAGGUAAAGGCUCACCAAGACCGUGAUGCAUAGCCGACCUGAGAGGGUAAUCGGCCACACUGGGACUGAGACACGGCCCAGACUCCUACGGGAGGCAGCAGUAGGGAAUCUUCCACAAUGGACGAAAGUCUGAUGGAGCAACGCCGCGUGAGUGAAGAAGGUUUUCGGAUCGUAAAACUCUGUUGUUGGAGAAGAAUGUAUCUGAUAGUAACUGAUCAGGUAGUGACGGUAUCCAACCAGAAAGCCACGGCUAACUACGUGCCAGCAGCCGCGGUAAUACGUAGGUGGCAAGCGUUGUCCGGAUUUAUUGGGCGUAAAGCGAGCGCAGGCGGUUUCUUAAGUCUGAUGUGAAAGCCUUCGGCUCAACCGAAGAAGUGCAUCGGAAACUGGGAAACUUGAGUGCAGAAGAGGACAGUGGAACUCCAUGUGUAGCGGUGAAAUGCGUAGAUAUAUGGAAGAACACCAGUGGCGAAGGCGGCUGUCUGGUCUGUAACUGACGCUGAGGCUCGAAAGCAUGGGUAGCAAACAGGAUUAGAUACCCUGGUAGUCCAUGCCGUAAACGAUGAGUGCUAGGUGUUGGAGGGUUUCCGCCCUUCAGUGCCGCAGCUAACGCAUUAAGCACUCCGCCUGGGGAGUACGACC